UNCAUGGCCGACUACGUUGAGGUAGUGAG
rnacentral:piRNA from 1 species